UGGCUACCACAUCCAAGGAUGGCAGCAGGCGCGCAAAUUACCCACUCCCAGCUUGGGGAGGUAGUGACGAAAAAUAACAAUGCGGGACUCUAAGAGGCCCCGUAAUUGGAAUGAGUACACCUUAAAUCGUUUAACGAGUAUCAAUUGGAGGGCAAGUCUGGUGCCAGCAGCCGCGGUAAUUCCAGCUCCAAUAGCGUAUAUUAAAGUUGCUGCAGUUAAAAAGCUCGUAGUUGGAUCUGGGGCUUGAGGUCGCUGUCUAUCGUUUCGGCGAUGACGGUGAUGCUCAGCUCUGCUUGCCGGUGACUGUUGCGGUGUUCUUCAUUGAGCGCUGUAGCAGCACGGCACGUUUACUUUGAAAAAAUUAGAGUGCUCAAAGCGUGCUUGUCGCUUGAAUAAUGUUGCAUGGAAUAAUGGAAUAGGACCUCGGUUCUAUUUUGUUGGUUUUCGGAGCUUGAGGUAAUGAUUAAGAGGGACGAACGGGGGCAUUCGUAUUGCGGUGUUAGAGGUGAAAUUCUUGGAUCGCCGCAAGACGGACUACUGCGAAAGCAUUUGCCAAGAACGCUUUCAUUAAUUAAGAACGAAAGUCAGAGGUUCGAAGACGAUCAGACACCGUCCUAGUUCUGACCUUAAACGAUGCCGACCAGCGAUCCGUAGUGGUUGCUUUAUGGACCCUACGGGCAGCCUCCGGGAAACCAAAGUAUUUGGGUUCCGGGGGAAGUAUGGUUGCAAAGCUGAAACUUAAAGGAAUUGACGGAAGGGCACACCAGGAGUGGAGCCUGCGGCUUAAUUUGACCCAACACGGGAAAACUCACCCGGUCCGGACACCGUAAGGAUUAACAGAUUGAUAGCUCUUUCUUGAUUCGGUGGAUGGUGGUGCAUGGCCGUUCUUAGUUGGUGGAGUGAUUUGUCUGGUUAAUUCCGAUAACGAACGAGACUCUAGCCUGCUAAGUAGUGUAGCUAUUUUUAUAUGGUUUACACAUCUUAGAGGGACAAGUGGCAUUUAGCCACGCGAAAUUGAGCAAUAACAGGUCUGUGAUGCCCUUAGAUGUCCGGGGCCGCACGCGCGCUACACUGGAGAGGUCAGCGUGUGUUAUCCAAGUCCGAAAGUAUUGGGUAAUCCGUUGAACCUUCUUCGUGCUUGGGACUGUGGCUUGGAACUAUUGCACAUGAACGAGGAAUUCCUAGUAAGUGCAAGUCAUAAGCUUGCGUUGAUUACGUCCCUGCCCUUUGUACACACCGCCCGUCGCUACUACCGAUUGAAUGGUUUAGCAAGGUCCUCGGAUCGUUGCCGUAGGGGCUCGCAAGGGUCUCUGCGGUUAGCGAGAAGACGCCCAAACUUGAUCAUUUAGAGGAAGUAAAAGUCGUAACAAGGUU
rnacentral:rRNA from 1 species